rnacentral:lncRNA from 1 species
AUGAGAUGAUUUCUUGGUGGAAGAAUUAAAGAGGACAACAAAAAUUCAGAAAUCCAAAAUCAUAGCCAAAAUUCACAUUGUGUUUCCCGUAUGUAGAACCUUCCCAACGUUUUUGUUGUUAGCAAUUUCCGUUUGCAGGUUGGUUUAACUUCGUUUGCUGUUUGAAGAAUUGCGGUUGAUGUAGAAAUUCGAUUCCUCUGGUUUACAAUUUGCAUGGUAUGUCUUAAGUUACAUUUUACAAACAUUUUGUUUAAUGUUUUUGUUGUUUGCAAAUUGUUCCAUAAACAAUUUUUUUGUUGAUGUUUUUAAUGAUGCUGAUUUUUUUUUUUUCUUUCUGAGUUUGUUGUUUGCAUUUGACGAAGUCAUAGGUAGUUUAUUGCUUGCAAUUCAAUAAUGCAAGUUUUGCUGAAUGUUUUUCUUCAGUUUGUUGUUUGCAUUUGGCGAAGUCAUAGGUCAUUUUUUGUUUGUAAUUCAGUAAUACAAAUUAUGGAUUUUGUUUUUUCAGUUUGCUGUUUGCAUUUGGCGAAAUCAUAGGUAUUAUGUUGUUUGCAAUUCAAUAAUAUAAAAUUUAAUUUUCAGUUUGCUAUUUGCAGUUCGCGGAGUCAUAGACGUCACAGUUCCCGGAUCAUAGUCGGUGGUGGGGCUGCGGUGGCGUUUUUAGAGUAUGAGUUUGUAAAAUAAUUGUAUAUUUUUGUUAUGAAUUAAUUUAUUUGUUUUAGU